GCUGUCACAAUAUUCCGCUGUAUAAAGGAACUUAUGAAUUAUUGGGUUCAUCUUCGGUAUCCAGUGUCGGGGAACCAGUGUACAUGUAAAUGGAGACUCCUGGGCACUGGUGAUCCAUCAAGAGAAAGGAGUCGAAACUGCAGACUCUGGAAGCCUGAUGCAGGCGAUAAGUACUCUCUGUGAAUGUCAAG